rnacentral:rRNA from 1 species
AUUGAACGCUGGCGGCAUGCCUUACACAUGCAAGUCGAACGGCAGCGGGGGAGAAGCUUGCUUUUCCUGCCGGCGAGUGGCGAACGGGUGAGUAAUACAUCGGAACGUGCCCUGUAGUGGGGGAUAACUAGUCGAAAGAUUAGCUAAUACCGCAUACGACCUGAGGGUGAAAGUGGGGGACCGCAAGGCCUCAUGCUAUAGGAGCGGCCGAUGUCUGAUUAGCUAGUUGGUGGGGUAAAGGCCUACCAAGGCGACGAUCAGUAGCUGGUCUGAGAGGACGAUCAGCCACACUGGGACUGAGACACGGCCCAGACUCCUACGGGAGGCAGCAGUGGGGAAUUUUGGACAAUGGGCGAAAGCCUGGUCCAGCAAUGCCGCGUGUGUGAAGAAGGCCUUCGGGUUGUAAAGCACUUUUGUCCGGAAAGAAAUGGCUCUGGUUAAUACCUGGGGUCGAUGACGGUACCGGAAGAAUAGGGACCGGCUAACCACGUGCCAGCCGCCGCGGUAA